GGAGAAGUGGAUCGACCGGAGACUGAGCCGCGAGAGGCGGACCUCCGGAUCGGAGGGCCAGAGGAAGAACGCCGCCGCGCCGAGGAGGAGCGCGGCGGAGAAGAAGGCGAGAAGCGAGGACGAGGAGAGAAGGGAAUUGCAGCAGGAGCAGCGUCCCUGGUGGCGCCGCCGGCGGAAGGGGAGUAGGACGACGUAUGGCUGAGGCGGCGCCGCCGCCGCCGCCUGGUAGCCGCCGACGGGAACACCGUAGUAGGCAGGCAGGGGUGGCUGGUGGUGCUGCUGCGGCAGCAGGAGGGGCUCCCCGACGGCCGCCGCUGCCUCCGCCGCCGCUGCUCCGCCUCCGGGCUUCGCCA
rnacentral:lncRNA from 1 species